CCUACGGGAGGCAGCAGUAGGGAAUCUUCCGCAAUGGACGAAAGUCUGACGGAGCAACGCCGCGUGAGUGAUGAAGGUUUUCGGAUCGUAAAACUCUGUUGUUAGGGAAGAACAAGUACAAGAGUAACUGCUUGUACCUUGACGGUACCUAACCAGAAAGCCACGGCUAACUACGUGCCAGCAGCCGCGGUAAU
rnacentral:rRNA from 1 species